rnacentral:rRNA from 1 species
GCUUAUGUGAUAAACAAACAAGAAAUACUGCAACCUUGAACACGUCCAAUCUUGUCUGAUCUGGGAAGAUAAGUAUUUGACUGCUGGUCAGUUCUUGGAAAUGAGACUGCCUGGGACAAACAGGUACUCUAAGGU